GAUGAACGCCGGCGGCGUGCCUAAUACAUGCAAGUCGAACGCAUAGCGAAAGGUGCUUGCACCUUUCAAGUGAGUGGCGAACGGGUGAGUAACACGUGGACAACCUGCCUCAAGGCUGGGGAUAACAUUUGGAAACAGAUGCUAAUACCGAAUAAAACUUAGUGUCGCAUGACACAAAGUUAAAAGGCGCUUCGGCGUCACCUAGAGAUGGAUCCGCGGUGCAUUAGUUAGUUGGUGGGGUAAAGGCCUACCAAGACAAUGAUGCAUAGCCGAGUUGGGAGACUGAUCGGCCACAUUGGGACUGAGACACGGCCCAAACUCCUACGGGAGGCUGCAGUAGGGAAUCUUCCACAAUGGGCGAAAGCCUGAUGGAGCAACGCCGCGUGUGUGAUGAAGGCUUUCGGGUCGUAAAGCACUGUUGUAUGGGAAGAACAGCUAGAAUAGGAAAUGAUUUUAGUUUGACGGUACCAUACCAGAAAGGGACGGCUAAAUACGUG
rnacentral:rRNA from 1 species